rnacentral:rRNA from 1 species
GAGCUUGCUCCUGGAUUAGUGGCGAACGGGUGAGUAACACGUGAGUAACCUGCCCUUAACUCUGGGAUAAGCCUGGGAAACUGGGUCUAAUACCGGAUAUGACUCCUCAUCGCAUGGUGGGGGGUGGAAAGCUUUAUUGUGGUUUUGGAUGGACUCGCGGCCUAUCAGCUUGUUGGUGAGGUAAUGGCUUACCAAGGCGACGACGGGUAGCCGGCCUGAGAGGGUGACCGGCCACACUGGGACUGAGACACGGCCCAGACUCCUACGGGAGGCAGCAGUGGGGAAUAUUGCACAAUGGGCGCAAGCCUGAUGCAGCGACGCCGCGUGAGGGAUGACGGCCUUCGGGUUGUAAACCUCUUUCAGUAGGGAAGAAGCGAAAGUGACGGUACCUGCAGAAGAAGCGCCGGCUAAUUACGUGCCAGCAGCCGCGGUAAUACGUAGGGCGCAAGCGUUAUCCGGAAUUAUUGGGCGUAAAGAGCUCGUAGGCGGUUUGUCGCGUCUGCCGUGAAAGCCCGGGGCUCAACUCCGGAUCUGCGGUGGGUACGGGCAGACUAGAGUGAUGUAGGGGAAACUGGAAUUCCUGGUGUAGCGGUGAAAUGCGCAGAUAUCAGGAGGAACACCGAUGGCGAAGGCAGGUCUCUGGGCAUUAACUGACGCUGAGGAGCGAAAGCAUGGGGAGCGAACAGGAUUAGAUACCCUGGUAGUCCAUGCCGUAAACGUUGGGCACUAGGUGUGGGGGACA